rnacentral:lncRNA from 1 species
GCUUGAUAGAUAAAAUUGAUAUUGUUCUUGGUCAUCGUUACAAAAAGGAUAAAGGCAUUAUUAUUGGCGAGAGAUAUGAGUAAACUAAAGGUAUUAAAAGUAGUCAUAAUCUAGGCUACAAACAAAUAACAAACUCAAAAUAUGAAAGCACAACAGCUCUCAUUCAUGGACGUCGUUUCGAUCUCGGUUUUUGCAAGCCUUUGCAAGCUAUGCCAUCUUCCAAAGGAAAAAAAGGUAAAUCAGAAACAGAAAUGUUUAUGAUAAUGAUACAUAAUACCUUGUUAAUGGAAUCAAUUGAAUAGUCAUCUCUUGGCGUAGGAUCAACCGGUUUUCUUAGACCUAUAGGAUCUCUCUCCUUAUCAAUAAAUUCAUCAAACUUGCAUACACAUCAUAGCUUUUUU